UACGGGGGGAGCAAACGUUGUUCGGAAUUACUGGGCGUAAAGGGCGCGCAGACGGCUCGGUUAGUGGAAUGUGAAAUGCCCUGGCUUAACCAGGGAACUGCAUUCCAUACUGCCGGGCUUGAGUAUAGGAGAGGAUGGGGGAAUUCCCGGUGUAGCGGUGGAAUGCAUUGAUAUCGGGAGGAACACCAGUGGCGAAGGCGCCCAUCUGGCCUAAUACUGACGCUGAGGCGCGAAAGCUAGGGGAGCAAACAGG
rnacentral:rRNA from 1 species